rnacentral:snRNA from 1 species
AUGCUCACUUCAGCAGCACAUAUACUAAAAUUGGAAUGAUAGAGAGAUCAGCAUGGUCCCUGCACAAGGAUGACACGCAAAUUCGCCAACCAUUCCAUAUUUUU